CCUUCCCCGCCGCCCGCCCCGGCGGCGGCACCGCCGGCGUGGGGCGGCCCCUCCGCCCGGCCCGGCCCGGCCCGAGAGCCGCGGGUGGGGCGGGGGCGGCGGGGAUCGCUGCUGCGGGCGCUGCUUUGUGCGCCGAGCGCACGGGGGAUCGGCCGCGGCUCGCCCAGGCCGCUGGAAGGCGCCUCAGCGCGGCCGAGCCCCGGGCUGAGCCCCGCGGGGCUGGGCUGAGGCCAGGCGGAGCACCGGCCCCGCGGGGCUCGUGUGUGCACCUGCACGGACGGCGGGCAGGGGCUCGAGAGAGCCUGCACCAGAUACAGGAUCAGCAAAAGUGUCCAGCUGGCUCAAGGCAAGUCUGCCUAGUGCAGUACCCCGUUCCUGGCAGGAGUCAGCACCAUGCCACAAGGCUUGAAAAAGACAGAAAGAAUCCUGCAGCAUUCAGAAGAAACAUCUCCUAUGCUGGCUUCUUGAUCUUUGGAAGCCCGAUAUUGAUUGAAGUCUGGGAGCAUGAAAUUGAACAUCUCUUUCACGGGUGCUGCAGGAGCAGUUCGGGACUGGCUGGGGCAGCAGGGGAGUGUCCAGCUGUGGUUGUCAGAUAGUCUGGAAGCUUCCUUCAGACUGAAACUCAGUAUAGCCUGUAUUCAGGCCCUUUAUACCUCUUGAAUAGCAGAAAAGCAUGAAUGUCCAUGAUGAAAAGAGGUUUCAUUAUGUUGUACUCAUGAGCAUUGUUAAUAUCCCUUCUAGCUGCUUGGAAGCAUACAUCAUCAUUUUCAUGGAAAUCAUCAGUUUCAAGGAAAUAUGUCAUAAAUCAUUGCUAUAUAUUGGAUUGUGACUGGAGAGAUAGACAGCAUAAUAAAUUACCAGAAACUCCAAAAUUAAAACUGCUGAAUUUGUAAUGAAUUAAGCUCAGGUACUAACUAUGGAGCAUAAGAAAUACCACUUUUCCUUUUAAAUUUCUGUGCUCUUAAAUGUGAAGCCAGUGGGCAUUGAGCAAAUUAGAUAUGUAAAUUGAAACUGGACAAAAGGAACUUUCUGUGCUCAUGUGUAAUAGUAAUGAUAAUUGAAAAUAAUGAUAAAUAUAGAAGUAUACAUAUGUUUGAAUGUAUCACCAAUGUACAGAGAUGUUUCCUUUCAAUUUUUAGCAAUUCUGUGUAAAUCAUGUAGUGUUUCAUUGUUUCUGAGAUAAACAUUUGGUAAGAAUUUCAAUUCUUUGAGUUUAUAGACACCACUAGGGAAUUCUUCAUUUCUGACAGUAUUAUUUUACAUAACUGCUUUUCCUUAUUCACAAAAAGGAAUUAUCCUCCCAUUGAAACCAACAGACUUUUGCUAGCCAGCUUCAAAGGAAAGAGGACGAGGCUCUAAUUGGCAAAACAAUAUUGGAGGAUAUGUUGUACCAGAUCUAAACUAUAUAGAUUAUCACAAUAACAACAAAAAGCCAUUUAUUUCAGGCAGUGAGUCCUGAAGUCAGUGUGCAUUGGAAAAAUGAUCUUAAAAGAUUGCAACAUGUGAGCAGCAAAAAAUUAUUAUAACAUUUAGUGCAAUUUUAGGAUUAAUUUUACCAUGAACUUUCAAAACAGCACAACUUAUUUUCUGUCUGGCAUAGAGACACUCAGGAUAAAAAAGCCCACUGGCUUAAUAGAACUCAGUCAAAUAUUUAGGACUCCUCAAAAAACUGACAGCUUCUAUAAUGAGACAUGAAUUUCAUAAAGCUGAUGUUAAUUUAUUCCAUGUAUUGGGCUAAAUAAAAACAAAACACGACAAGAUUUCAAAGAUACUUGCUAAAAUACUUAAUUUACCAACUGAGGCCAGGUACUCUCUGUGCAAGUAUCAUGCAUAUGGCAGCUUGGUGAGAUGGUAUCACCUGUACUCAGACCUUUUGCUCUUGAGCAUUCUCCAGUGUUUGUGAAUUGUUUAACAGUGUUGUUAUCACCCUUACACAGAUUGGCUUCCAGGGGCUGUCAAAGAGCUGGCAUAUGUUCCUUGGCUGUUCCCUACACUGUAAGAUAGAGGAAAGAGGAGAAAUGAGUACUAAAGGGAUUCCUGGAUGCAGUGGACAUGUGUUCUUGGAUACUAAUAUGCUGCUCCCUUAGGUUUCAGUCCUCUCUGCUGAGCUCUAUACAAUUGAGUUGCUUUGACAGCUCAUGUUUGAUGAUCAAGCUCAGUGUGGGUGUAUGCAUUUGCUGGACCAAGCUUUAGUGUUCAGCAAUGUCCAGACUGCAAAUCUAGAGAUUAUAUGACUUUCAAAUCAUUGGAAGACACUGGUAGGUGAAACUGGAGGACGUUCUCUCAAUGGAACUAUCUCUUCUGCCUUAAGUACCUGCGUUUUGAUCUGAUGAAGUGAAAGCAAGUUAAUGUGUUUCACUCAAGGACAGGGAUUAUCCUUUAGAAAGCAGUGCUGGCAGAGACAGCUGGCAUCCAUCUGGUUGCUGUGGCAGGUAUCUGUAUAUUAUCUACCCUGGCAGAUCACAUCCAAUCCUUGUAAUUGCAUGCUUUAUGAAAAUUGCAGGAGUCAAAAAGUUCAGGAUUAAGACAGUAAUGCUGAUUUUCUCUGUAGUGAGCCAUAUAAAAAAAUUGCCUUGACAAGUAGUGGUCUUUUGAGGUGUGUUUUGUUUGCAUCCAGAGAUGUCAGUUCACUGUUAAAACAAUACUUCAGUCAAGUAAUGAUCACUGACAGGGCCCACAUUCAGAGGUUAUAACAUUAAUCUAAAUUCAUGUGUCUCCUCUUGUUCUUUGAUUGGUGCAAGAACUCUUGAGAUGUCCAUGCAGUAAGAAGAAUAAAAACUGAGGUGAAAUUAAGCCCUCUGAAUCUGGAUCCCGGACCCAUUAUAGAGCUUUAUGAGCAGUGAAGAAACUGAGGAAUACUUGUAAUGUCUUUUUGGAGAGGACUCUGGAAUUGAGACUGGAGUUCUUCAUAAGACUAUAAGACUUUGAAUAGGAGAGGAGCUAUAUGUCCAUAAAAUACCUUUUAAAAUUCCAUUUCCAAGACUCAAGCUUUUGCUUCUGUGGCUUUUCCUGAGAAUUUAGACCAUUAAUGUGUUAUAAAUUUUACCUGUAAUACUGUUCCAUUUCUUCUGCUGCUUGAUAUGUUUUAUUGGGAUAUCCAUAGCACAGAAGAUAGCAGUCACCUGCUCAAUUUACAUCUCCAGAUCUGAAAAUUUGUUUAUAUCUGCACGUGUGCCUGUAUGCUUAUGUCACAUGAUUUUAUCCAUAAAAAAUAUGCUUUUCUACAGUCAACAUUUCCUCAAAACUCCCCACUGUUAUUGAUAAACUGGGACCCUCAAAACCAGAGAAGUGAGAAGAAACUACCCGAACUGCACAGAAGACAAAACUGAAAUGUAGUGGUUGAAGCACAACGUCUUUCUGUUGCACAGCUUUGCGAAGAACUGAGCACACACAAUUCCUUCUCCUGUUGCUUUCCUAUUUCUUAUUCAGUUUAGUUGUUCUUUCAGUAAAACUCUGGGGUGUUACUUUAUAUUCAUUUUAUUAAAUAUAUUAACAAUACAA